rnacentral:rRNA from 1 species
AGUGAACGCUGGCGUUAGGCCUAGCACAUGCAAGUCGAACGGCAGCACAGUAAGAGCUUGCUCUUACGGGUGGCGAGUGGCGGACGGGUUAGGAAUACAUCGGAAUCUACUUUUUCGUGGGGGAUAACGUAGGGAAACUUACGCUAAUACCGCAUACGACCUACGGGUGAAAGCAGGGGAUCUUCGGACCUUGCGCGAUUGAAUGAGCCGAUGUCGGAUUAGCUAGUUGGCGGGGUAAAGGCCCACCAAGGCGACGAUCCGUAGCUGGUCUGAGAGGAUGAUCAGCCACACUGGAACUGAGACACGGUCCAGACUCCUAAGGGAGGCAGCAGUGGGGAAUAUUGGACAAUGGGCGCAAGCCUGAUCCAGCCAUACCGCGUGGGUGAAGAAGGCCUUCGGGUUGUAAAGCCCUUUUGUUGGGAAAGAAAAGCAGCAGGUUAAUACCCCGCUGUUCUGACGGUACCCAAAGAAUAAGCACCGGCUAACUUCGUG